rnacentral:rRNA from 1 species
CGCUCCCCGAUAAAUAACAACAUGAGGAGUCCUGCCUGCCCAGUGACUAAAGGUUAAACGGCCGCGGUAUCUUGACCGUGCGAAGGUAGCAUAAUCAUUUGUCUUCUAAAUAAAGACUAGUAUGAAUGGCAAGACGGAACUGAACUGUCUCUUUUCCAAAUAAUCCGAAUUUCACUUCUCCGUGAAGAGGCGGAGGGUAAAAUCGUUAGACGAGAAGACCCUGUCGAGCUUUUAGCAAAAGCUUAACUAGUAAAACACUUAAACUACUCUAGUAAAUGAAUGUAAGUAUAAUUAAGCUACUAAGAUUAAGUGAAGCUUUGGUUGGGGCAACCGCGGAGUAAAAGAAGCCUCCGCUAAAAAAAAUAUUAACCACUAAACUAAGGACUACCAUCCUAUAAUCAUGAAUGAUUAAAUUGAUCCAUUUAGAUGACCAAAGGAACAAGUUACCGCAGGGAUAACAGCGUUAUCUUUUCUGAGAGUUCACAUUGACGAAAAGGUUUGCGACCUCGAUGUUGGAUCGGGACAUCCUAAAGGUGCAGAAGCUUUUAAGGGUUGGUCUGUUCGACCAUUAAAGUCCUACG